CAGUCGCCGCGGGAAUACGAAGGGGGCUAGCGUUGUUCGGAUUUACUGGGCGUAAAGCGCACGUAGGCGGACUUUUAAGUCAGGGGUGAAAUCCCGGGGCUCAACCCCGGAACUGCCUUUGAUACUGGGAGUCUUGAGUUCGAGAGAGGUGAGUGGAAUUGCGAGUGUAGUGGUGAAAUUCGUAGAUAUUCGCAGGAACACCAGUGGCGAAGGCGGCUCACUGGCUCGAUACUGACGCUGAGGUGCGAAAGCGUGGGGAGCAAACAGGAUUAGAUACCCGGGUAGUCCCUGUCUCUUAUAC
rnacentral:rRNA from 1 species